GGUAGGGGGUGUGAGAGCAUGGCCCCCACACUGGGACUGAGACACGGUCCAGACUCCUACGGGAGGCAGCAGCAGGGAAUAUUGCGCAAUGGACGGAAGUCUGACGCAGCGACGCCGCGUGGAUGACGAAGGCCUUCGGGUUGUAAAAUCCUUUUCCGGGCGAUGAGGAAGGACACUAGCCUGGGAAUAAGCGUCGGCUAACUACGUGCCAGCAGCCGCGGUAAGACGUAGGACGCGAGCGUUAUCCGGAUUUACUGGGCGUAAAGCGCCUGCAGGCGGUCAGGUAAGUCGGUUGUGAAAGCCCCGUGCUCAACGCGGGGAGGCCAAGCGAUACUGCGUGACUUGAGGGCGGAAGAGGGGAGUGGAAUUCCCGGUGUAGCGGUAAAAUGCGCAGAUAUCGGGAGGAACACCAGUGGCGAAGGCGGCUCCCUGGACCGCACCUGACGCUCAGAGGCGAAAGCUAGGGGAGCGAACAGGAUUAGAGACCCUGGUAGUCCUAGCCCUAAACGCUGGAUGCUAGGUGUAGGGCUGAUGAGGCUCUGUGCCGGAGCGAACGCGAUAAGCAUCCCGCCUGGGAACUACGGCCGCAAGGCUAAAACUCAAACGAAUUGACGGGGACCCGCACAAGCAGCGGAGCGUGUGGUUUAAUUCGAUGCUACACGAAGAACCUUACCUGGGUUUGACAUGCUGGUGGUACCGAACCGAAAGGGGAGGGACCCUUCGGGGAGCCAACACAGGUGCUGCAUGGCUGUCGUCAGCUCGUGCCGUGAGGUGUCGGGUUAAGUCCCGUAACGAGCGCAACCCUUGCUCUUAGUUAUACGUGUCUAAGGGGACUGCCGGCGACAAGCCGGAGGAAGGUGGGGAUGACGUCAAGUCAGCAUGGCCUUGAUAUCCAGGGCUACACACACGCUACAAUGGCCGGUACAAAGGGCAGCCAAGCCGCGAGGUGGAGCGAAUCCCAGCAAAGCCGGUCCCAGUUCGGAUUGCAGGCUGCAACCCGCCUGCAUGAAGUUGGAGUUGCUAGUAACCGCGCGUCAGCCAUAGUGCGGUGAAUACGUACCCGGGUCUUGUACACACCGCCCGUCACGUCAUGGGAGUUGGCAACGCCUGACAGCGGUAGCCUAACCGAAAGGAAGGCGCCGACUAAGGCGGGG
rnacentral:rRNA from 1 species